UACGUAGGGGGCCAGCGUUGUCCGGAAUCAUUGGGCGUAAAGCGCGCGUAGGCGGUCAGGUAAGUCCGGUGUGAAAGUCAAAGGCUCAACCUUUGAAUGCCGCUGGAAACUGCCUGACUUGAGUCCGGUAGGGGCGAGUGGAAUUCCUGGUGUAGCGGUGAAAUGCGCAGAUAUCAGGAGGAACACCAAUGGCGAAGGCAGCUCGCUGGAACGGUACUGACGCUGAGGCGCGAAAGCGUGGGGAGCGAACAGGAUUAGAUACCCUGGUAGUCCACGCCGUAAACGAUGGACACUAGGUGUCGGAGGUGUCGACUCCUCCGGUGCCGUAGCUAACGCAUUAAGUGUCCCGCCUGGGGAGUACGGCCGCAAGGCUAAA
rnacentral:rRNA from 1 species